CCUUAGAGGAGAACCCAGCUAACCCGAAUCAUGUUGCUAUCGGUUAUGGACGAGGUCUUAUUGUCAUCUGGGAUCUUCAGAAACGGUGUGCAAUCCAGCACUUUCCGGCUACUCAGCAACUGGAGAGUCUGUGUUGGACAGAGGACAGGGGAUACAUUCUUAGUUCCCACAGCGAUGGUAGCUAUUGUCGUUGGCUGUUUGGUGAGGAAGAUGGAAAUGAGGUGGAGAAGUCAGACAUUCCUUAUGGACAUUUCCCUUGCAAAGCCAUUUCUAAAAUAAUUCAGCUGCCUACAAAGAC